GCUGAAGGAAGAAGACAGAACUUGCUUGGAGAAGAAAUUUAUACAAAAUUAUGUCUACCAAGAUUCUGUGGAAAAUCCUGAUUUUGACAUGGCUGAGUUUGGCUUUUGGUUUAUCGCAAAGCGACAAGGUAUUUUUCAAAAUUUAAGCCCAGCAGGUACUCAGUGCUGCGCAUGUAUAUUAUACGAUUGUAAAUUGUAUGCAUGCAUGGC
rnacentral:lncRNA from 1 species